GGGGGUGUGGCUCAGUGGUACAGCACUUGCCUAGCACACAUGAGGCCCAGGGUUCCAUCCUCAGAACCCCCC
rnacentral:tRNA from 1 species